rnacentral:rRNA from 1 species
CAGUAGCCGCGGGAAUACGAAGGGGGCUAGCGUUGUUCGGAAUUACUGGGCGUAAAGCGCACGUAGGCGGAUCGAUCAGUCAGGGGUGAAAUCCCAGGGCUCAACCCUGGAACUGCCUUUGAUACUGUCGAUCUGGAGUAUGGAAGAGGUGAGUGGAAUUCCGAGUGUAGAGGUGAAAUUCGUAGAUAUUCGGAGGAACACCAGUGGCGAAGGCGGCUCACUGGUCCAUUACUGACGCUGAGGUGCGAAAGCGUGGGGAGCAAACAGGAUUAGAUACCCCAGUAGUCCCUGUCUCUUAUAC